CUGGCCCGGAGCGAGCGGAGAAGAGGCGCUCCCGGUGAAAAUGUACAGCCCAGAACGACUAACCCUCUCCACCGGACGAUCCCUGCAGCAUAAAUGGCCUGGACCAGCUCACCCUUCCUUCCCACUGAUGGGAGUGCCUGUAUUCAGGAGGAGGACUCUAGACGUAGAACCAAAUCCAAGCCAACAAGAGGUGUCAGCUUUUCAGAUCCAGAAAGCUCACAAGAAGGGGGCAAUACUAGUAGGAACAGAAAUACAGCUACUGAAAAUUCGGCAACCAGCUCUAAUACAACAACUCCUCAAGGGGGCACUCUGUCAAAAAACUGGCAAAGACAAAAGAAAAGAGCCCAGGCACACGAAGAGCGGGCAGAAGACAUAGAAGAAAGACGCUAUCCCCUCAGGUCCCUCUUGACCCCAAGAGGUGCCCAGUAACGAUUCUAUCGGCAUGUGUGCUUUCGGAAGCCCAAAUCAAACUUCUCAGCAAAGGACUUAACUUUGUACCAUCCUUGUCUACGUCUUUUCUUGAACAUCAAGUAUUAUUAUCCAUUGUCCAUCACCUCCUUGAGAAGACUCAAGAACAGAACAAGAUGUGAACAUCGCACCGGAUAGGUGGUAACCACUGGCAACAGUUGUAUGGCCAAACGAAGCAAAGCUCGACACUUAUCCAGGAGACUGGCUAUACCGGAGAUGAAAAACAGGGAGAAAUCUGCUCCCAACAUCCCCAGUAAUUUUUGUAAUUUUCAUACUUUUUUAACCAGUUAAACCACCCACCGGUGUGCGAUGACACGUCUCCCGAUACCCCUAUUGUAUUUCCCAUGUUUUUCUAGCUUUUCCGGGUUUUCCACAUUGUUUCUUGUAUUUUAGCAUAAGGUGACGUAUCAGGUCAUGUGACCUGGCGUACAUGUAUUUCAACUUGCGUGAUUCGUAUAACUCGUUAGUCUACGAUUAAGCACUUUUGUGUGAAACGCGUCAGCCGUUAUCCUCUGUCAAGUGUCUUCUGUGUAUUUUUCUAAAUAAAGAACAAGCUUUU